rnacentral:tmRNA from 1 species
GGGGUCGAUUUGGCUUCGACAGGAUUUAUUUCGUAUAAGUGCAUGUCGGCUGGCACGCCGUUAAACUACCAAAAAAUAAACGCAAACAAUACAAAUUACGCUCCAGCUUACGCAAAAGUAGCGUGAGUUUAAUUCGCUUUUAGGAGCCGAUUUUGCAAAUUGAUGCUAAUAGAUUGCAAAAUCGUCAUUUUCUUAGCUGCCUUUGGAUUGCGCCAAAUAUCCAAAGAAAGAUCCAUGGCUUUUUGUUUGAAAGUUUGAGGAUUUAUAUCAAGCAAGAAUCUAAAAUCCUUACAAAGCAUGUAGAUUCUUAUAUGUAGAGAUAGAUUUUGGACUGGGGUUCAAUUCCCCACGACUCCACCA